GCUGGGUGCGGUGGCGCACACCUGUAAUCCCAGUGGCUCUGGAGGCAGAGGCAGGAGGAUCAAAAGUUCAAAGCCAGCCUCAGCAAUUUAGUGAGGUGCUAAGCAACUUAGUGAGACCCUGUCUCUA
rnacentral:sRNA from 1 species